CGGCGGACGGGUGAGUAACACGUGGAUAACCUACCUGUAAGACUGGGAUAACUUCGGGAAACCGGAGCUAAUACCGGAUAAUAUAUUGAACCGCAUGGUUCAAUAGUGAAAGACGGUUUUGCUGUCACUUAUAGAUGGAUCCGCGCCGCAUUAGCUAGUUGGUAAGGUAACGGCUUACCAAGGCAACGAUGCGUAGCCGACCUGAGAGGGUGAUCGGCCACACUGGAACUGAGACACGGUCCAG
rnacentral:rRNA from 1 species